GGGAAAGUAGCUCAGUGGUAGAGCACUUGCCUUGCAUGCAUGAGGCCCUGGGUUCAAUUCCUCAGCACCA
rnacentral:tRNA from 1 species